rnacentral:lncRNA from 1 species
UAGUAGUCAGAGAUAUCCGAGUUCAUUGAAAGUUGAAUAACCGACAUUAAACGGCCCCAGAAGCGGGCGGCGGCCGCCUUGUAAUUCCCCUUUAAAGUGAAAUGCAGUUUACAGUGAUUACGAAGGAAAAAGAGAAAGAGAGAGAGAGAGAGGGAGAGAGAAGCGCGCGGCAGCAAUUAAAUAGUACGUCUCUGAUGUUGCUACUUAUUAUUAAACUCGCGAGCGAGUGAGCGAGUCAACCAGUUGACUUUAAACCACACGAUAAAUUAGUCUUACAGUGAAUUACGCCCAAAUAUAUAACACGUGCGAAACCCAGAACUGGAAUGUCUCAUGAUAUGAUCAAGGCCAAAACAAUUUUACGCUCUCCUCGUCGCAACACAUGCCGCAUUAAAAAGUGACAAUCCCAAUGGUGCAGGCAACAGAUCUUUUCACAAAAGAGAUUUCAUCGGAAAAACUGUGAAGAUGACUUCACGAUCUGAAAGAGGUUAAAGUAUGACUCGACGUGAUUUGAAGUUACGUGAGUACGGCUAAAUGCGUAUGCUGUUUGUGUUAUAUGGCUGCUUCUUGUACGUCCUUCGGGAAAAAAGGAAAGACACAAAAGAGAUGACGACGAAAAAAAAAAAAAAACAACAGCAGAACCGCCGACAGAUAUGGAGGUAAAUACAGCAAUAGCAGCAGCCGCAGCAGCAGAGACUUGUAUUGUGGAAUUAUAAUGUAUCACAAUACCUAUAAGAAAUUCGGGAGUUUCAAUGUAAACAACUCGUCUUCGACUCAACACCGCGGCGACAUCGAAAAUACGCAUACACGUAACGUGUAUACAUGUGUGUGCUAUCAGAACCUCAAUUGUUAAGCAACUGAAAUUUUGAGAUUCUUCGACAAAACGCCUUAGCAGUAACCUUUCGUGGCUACAGAUAGGCGAUAAAAUAUCUCGUUGGCACAUUUGAAGAGGUGAUUUGGAAAAUGUUAUAAUAUAUAUUUAAAAAGUGUCUGUAUUGUGAAAAUUAUUCUGCAAUUUUUUCUUAAUUGUUCCUUGAAUAUCAAAUCGCACAAAUGUCAUCAUUCAAGACCCCCACCGCUGCGGUUUGCAGGGACGAAUUCAGACGAACCAUAUAUAUAGUAUAUAUAUAGGAAAAGUCUUACGGAGUAUUUUCUCACGCUAAUAACGAACUGAUCUCGAGAUUUGUAGCAAUAAAUCGUAACUCUACAAAAUAAUAGAGGUCCCUGACAACGGUGCAAGUACAACACGGUGCUAGCUGAACAGAAAAUGAGAUUUUCAAAUCUACAGCAGGUAUUAUUACGCAUAUCAUUAUACUCAGGUAUGUAUAAAGGUAUGACUGAUAUUCUCUCAUCGUCAACAGUCAUAAUAACUAACAAUGAGUUAUUAUAUAUAGAACGGAUUGUCAUUCGGAUUGUGGUAGCGGUCACCACGCCGAAACUCUCACCC